GCUUACGGCCAUACCACCCUGAACACGCCCGAUCUCGUCCGAUCUCGGAAGCUAAGCAGGGUCGGCCUGGUUAGUACUUGGAUGGAGACCGCCUGGGAAUACCAGUGCUGUAAGCU
rnacentral:rRNA from 1 species